UCUAACUCUUUUUUUUUUAUUUUUUAUUUAAUUUCUCUCUCUCCACUCAUUUUGAACUUGGGGAAUAAACUCUUAUUUUUAAGGGGCAGUUAGUUAUAUACCUCUGAAAAGUUUCUAACUUUCUGAUUUACCCCUCUUAGAAGGCUAAUAUUAAAAAUACAUUUUUUACGUUUCAACCUAUUUCAAAUAUAUUCCUAGAGUUAAAAUCUGUUAAUAAAAUAUGUUCUCUGUAUAAAAUUAUUCCUAGAGUUAGGGGAGGGGGGCUGGGAUGGGGGUGUGAGGCCUAGCGAGCUGCAGGUGGUGUGGGCUCUAACNAAUUGCCCCUUAAAAAUACAUUUUUUACGUUUCAACCUAUUUCAAAUAUAUUCCUAGAGUUAAAAUCUGUUAAUAAAAUAUGUUCUCUGUAUAAAAUUAUUAUUAAGGUGGUGUGGGCUCUUAACUUUUUUUUAUUUUUUAUUUAAUUUCUCUCUCUCCACUCAUUUUGAACUUGGGGAAUAGACUCUUAUUUUUAAGGGGCAAUUACUUAUAUACUCCUGAAAAGUUUCCGACUUUUUGAUUUACCAUUCUUAGAAGGCUAAUAUUGAAAAUACCUUUUUUACGUUCCAACAUAUUUCAAAUAUAUCACUAGAGUUAAAAUCUGUUAAUAAAAUAUGUUAUCUGUAUAAAAUUAUUAUUUUACCCUUUCAAAAAUAACCUUUCAUCAUCAUCGACUUUUCUUAUUUGCUCUUAAGUCAGCUGCACAACAAGUAUUUUGACUUUGGUCUAAAUAUACCCAUCUACCGUCACCAGCAUUUCUUAUUUGCUUUUAAGUUAAGGGCAAAAAUAGCAUUUUAAUUUUUUUAACUGUGGUAGAUAUUUAACUUACGUUUAACCAAAGUUAACUAACGGGUGGUAGCUGUUGGGGUAUUUUAGAAUAACGGAGGAAUAUAUGAGGCGUAUAUUGGAAAGAAAAAAAAAAGGGUAAAUGAGAUAUUUUUCAAAUUUUGAGGGGUAUAUAGGCAAUUAUUCUUAUUUUUAAUCUAAUUUAAUUUAUCUCUCUCUCUUAUUAUAAAAAUUUAAAAUAUCUGUACUAUCUUAUGAAUCCGCAGUUUUGUUACAGGUGGCAGCGAGCGGGAGCAC
rnacentral:lncRNA from 1 species